rnacentral:misc_RNA from 1 species
GAUGAAGAACGCAGCGAAAUGCGAUAAGUAAUGUGAAUUGCAGAAUUCAGUGAAUCAUCGAAUCUUUGAACGCACAUUGCGCCCGCCAGUAUUCUGGCGGGCAUGCCUGUUCGAGCGUCAUUUCAACCAUCAAGCCCCCGGCUUGUGUUGGGGACCUGCGGCUCCCGCAGGCCCUGAAAACCAGUGGCGGGCUCGCUAGUCACUCCGAGCGUAGUAAUACAUCUCGCUCAGGGCGUGCUGCGGGUUCCGGCCGUUAAAAAGCCUUAUUUACCCAAGGUUGACCUCGGAUCAGGUAGGAAGACCCGCUGAACUUAAGCAUAUCAAUAAGCGGAGGA